rnacentral:rRNA from 1 species
GAUGAACGCUGGCGGCGUGCCUAACACAUGCAAGUCGAACGAGGUAUUUUGAUUGAAGUUUUCGGAUGGAUUUCAAGAUACCGAGUGGCGGACGGGUAAGUAACGCGUGGGUAACCUGCCUCAUACAGGGGGAUAACGGUUAGAAAUGACUGCUAAUACCGCAUAAGCGCACAGUACCGCAUGGUACGGUGUGAAAAACUCCGGUGGUAUGAGAUGGACCCGCGUCUGAUUAGCUAGUUGGUGGGGUAACGGCCCACCAAGGCGACGAUCAGUAGCCGACCUGAGAGGGUGAUCGGCCACAUUGGGACUGAGACACGGCCCAGACUCCUACGGGAGGCAGCAGUGGGGGAUAUUGCACAAUGGAGGAAACUCUGAUGCAGCGACGCCGCGUGAGUGAAGAAGUAUUUCGGUAUGUAAAGCUCUAUCAGCAGGGAAGAAAAUGACGGUACCUGACUAAGAAGCCCCGGCUAACUACGCGCCAGCCGCCGCCGUAA